CAAAACGAUUGUAUCUUUAUCAAAAUACUAACACGAUCCGUGUGCUACACAAAUAGAAGCGUUUGCUGGGGUCAGUUUUUUAGUCCUUAUUGAAUCAAUGGCUCAGUGAUAAUGCAUUUGAAAGAGCUUGCACAUGGGUACUUCUUGAUCCUUUGCAUGAGAAGAGAUUUAAAGGUCUUUAAAUGUGUAUCGCAGUUUUUAAUAAGCUAUACAGUCAAUUAUAGCUUGGACUCUACGAGUCAUUCAAGGUUUAAAGAACGUUGAUAGCAUAUAAAAGAUGAAGCAAUUGCAAUGAAUACAUCUUAUCACCAUAUUACUUCUUUUGGAGAUSUUACUGAUGUUGUGGUUUAUAGACGAGGAGAAAAAUUACAGGCRGUCAGGAAACGUGAAGUGGUGCAAAGCCACAAGGAACAAGUACUCAAUCUACAAACGAGGCACUUUUUGCUAUCACAAUUAUCAGCUCUUUACAACCAUCCAUUCAAACUUGUKAAAGCAGUCAGGGGAAUAGAUAGAAAUUGUGAUUUAUUUGUUAAUUACUAAGACAGCUUUUUUGGAUGACUUAAAGCCGACUUGUCCCGAGGCGAACGCUUCCACCAAAGACUGGCAUUGUGACAUCAUUAGCUGUUAAUUUAAGAAUAACAGCAAAAAUUCUCCAUCAGUCAGACCAAAGAACCAAAUUGAACUGUUCUAUUUUCAAUUAUCGAGCAGUUUAUGGAUGCUUUGUUGACUUCACCAACAAACAAACGAAUGGAACAAGGUCGAACAGACCUGAACAAACAACCUUUAGCAAGGUAUCGUUUUCCAAGCGUACACCAGUCUUAACAUAUUUUAAAGAUGUGUGUCAGACGUCUCCGACAGCCACAAAAAUGCUGCCUGUAAUAACUUUGUAGAAUUUCGCCAAAAAGUAAUUCUUUUGUCAGUAGCCGUUUGCUUCUGAAAUGUAGUAUAGCGACAAUAGAAAAGGUGACAUCUGCAAAAAACAUCUAAUUUCUUGGUCSAAAGCGGCGCUUCCUUUUGCUGCCACUGGAAUUCAAGUUAUUGUCAUCGAUACCAUCCAGUGGUUUGUCAUUGCUAGUUUUUGUAUCAUUUCUCUACCAUCCAAUGGUUUGUCAUUGGUAGUUCUUGAUCAUUUCUCUACCAUCCAGUGGUUUAUCAUUGGUAGUUCUUGCAUCAUUUCUCUACCAUCCAGUGGUUUAUCAUUGGUAGUUCUUGCAUCAUUUCUCUACCAUCCAGUGGUUUAUCAUUGGUAGUUCUUGCAUCAUUUCUCUACCAUCCA